rnacentral:tRNA from 1 species
GCUCGGAUGGCGGAAUUGGUAGACGCGCUAGACUAAGGAUCUAGUGGGCGCAAGCCCGUGGAGGUUCGAUUCCUCUUUCGAGCA